rnacentral:rRNA from 1 species
AGCUCCAAUAGCGUAUAUUAAAGUUGUUGCAGUUAAAAAGCUCGUAGUUGGAUCUCGGGAGCGAGCGAGCGGUCGGGCGUUCAGCCGUGUACUUCUCACUCAUCCUACUGACCGGUACGUGCCCUGUGCUCUUAACCGAGUGUAGGGACCGUCUGGUGCGUUUACUUUGAAAAAAUUAGAGUGCUCAAAGCAGACGAGUCGUCUGAAUAGCCGUGCAUGGAAUAAUGGAAUAGGACCUCGGUGCUAUUUUGUUGGUUUCGAACACCAGGAGUAAUGAUUAACAGGGACAGUCAGGGGCACUCGUAUUCCGUCGAGAGAGGUGAAAUUCUCAGACCAAUGGAAGACGAACCACUGCGAAAGCAUUUGCCAGGGAUGUUUUCACUG